rnacentral:lncRNA from 1 species
GUUUUCCCGGCUAGGCUCUGGAGCGGCGGGCGCGGCGCGAUGCGCGGGUACCCGGGAGCGAACGGCUGCAAGCCCCGAUGAAGCUCGAGCAGCCCCAGCCUGAUGGAGGCGCCUCCGUGGGAGCCGGUGCGCAAUGACUCCCUGCCUCCCACGCUGAGCCCCGCGGUGCCGCCCUACGUGAAGCUCGGCCUCACCGCGGUCUACAACCGUCUUCUACGCGCUCCUCUUCGUGUUCAUCUAUGCGCAGCUCUGGCUGGUGCUGCGCUACCGUCACAAGCGGCUCAGCUACCAGAGCGUCUUCCUCUUCCUUUGCCUCUUCUGGGCCUCGCUGCGUACCGUGCUCUUCUCCUUUUACUUCCGAGACUUCGUGGCAGCCAACUCGUUCAGCCCCUUCGUCUUCUGGCUGCUCUACUGCUUCCCCGUGUGUCUACAGUUCUUCACCCUCACGCUCAUGAACUUGUACUUCACGCAGAAGCUUAUUCUGCUCUCAACUGAGUCCAAAGUCAGCAGGAGUCAGCGCGGGCUCGUGGAGCUGGAUAGCAGGUUAGGAGCUCCCGAGGACCAGCAGGUCACUGAGGACUGAGUUCUUAGCACUCUUUAAUGAAGUCCAUGCAGGCAGAGUGAUUUUCAAGGCCAAGUCAAAAUAUUCUCCAGAGCUACUCAAAUACCGGUUACCCCUCUACCUGGCCUCACUUUUCAUCAGCCUCGUUUUCCUGUUGGUGAAUCUGACCUGUGCUGUGCUGGUGAAGACGGGAGACUGGGACAGGAAGGUUAUCGUCUCUGUGAGAGUGGCCAUCAAUGACACACUCUUUGUGCUGUGUGCUAUCUCUCUCUCCAUCUGCCUCUACAAAAUCUCCAAGAUGUCCCUGGCGAACAUCUACUUGGAGUCAAAGGGCUCAUCAGUGUGUCAGGUAACUGCCAUUGGUGUCACCGUCAUCUUGCUCUACGCCUCUCGGGCCUGCUACAACCUGUUCAUCUUGUCAUUUUCUCAGAUCAAGAACGUCCAUUCCUUUGAUUAUGACUGGUACAAUGUAUCCGACCAGGCAGAUCUGAAGAGCCAGCUGGGUGAUGCCGGCUACGUAGUGUUUGGCGUGGUGCUUUUCGUGUGGGAGCUCCUACCCACCACCUUGGUGGUUUAUUUCUUUCGAGUCAGAAAUCCCACGAAGGAUCUUACCAAUCCUGGGAUGGUCCCCAGCCAUGGAUUCAGUCCCAGAUCUUACUUCUUUGACAACCCCCGAAGAUAUGACAGUGAUGAUGACCUUGCCUGGAACAUUGCCCCUCAGGGACUUCAGGGAAGUUUUGCUCCAGACUACUGUGAUUGGGGACAACAAAAUAACAGCUUCCUGGCACAAGCAGGAACUUUGCAUCAAGACUCCACUUUGGAUCCAGACAAAGCAAGCCAAGGGUAGCAGCAGCUGACACAGCCCUAUGGAAGAGUUCUCUGUUGACAGCCUUCAGCCAGACAGACCGGAUGACAGCUGAGUUGCUAAGGCAGUUUUCCUUAGGAAACAGAACUCUAGUUUUUGCUAUAGCUUUCUCAUGGCUCCACAGGGCUAAGCAAUAAUUUAGAGCAAUAAACCCUUUAGUACUA